GUAGAGAGAGAGAGAACAACAGGAAGACAGUAGAGAGAGAGAGAACAACAGGAGGACAGUAGAGAGAGAGAGAGAACAACAGGAGGACAGUAGAGAGAGAGAGAGAACAACAGGAAGACAAGAGAGAGAGAGAACAACAGGAGGACAGUAGAGAGAGAGAACAACAGGAGGAUAGUAGAGAGAGAGAGAGAACAACAGGAGGACAGUAGAGAGAGAGAGAGAACAACAGGAGGACAGUAGAGAGGGGGACCAACAGGAGGACAGUAGAGAGAGAGAACAACAGGAGGAUAGUAGAGAGAGAGAGAGAACAACAGGAGGACAGUAGAGAGAGAGAGAACAACAGGAGGACAAUAGAGAGAGAGAGAGAACAACAGGAGGACAGUAGAGAGAGAGAGAACAAUAGGAGGACAGUAGAGAGAGAGAGAACAACAGGAGGACAGUAGAGAGAGAGAGAACAACAGGAGGACAGUAGAGAGAGAGAACAACAGGAGGACAGUAGAGAGAGAGAGAACAACAGGAGGACAGUAGAGAGAGAGAGAGAACAACAGGACAGUAGAGAGAGAGAGAGAACAACAGGAGGACAGUAGAGAGAGAGAGAGAACAACAGGAGGACAGUAGAGAGAGAGAGAACAACAGGAGGACAGUAGAGAGAGAGAGAGAACAACAGGAGGACAGUAGAGAGAGAGAGAACAACAGGAGGACAGUAGAGAGAGAGAGAACAACAGGAGGACAGUAGAGAGAGAGAGAACAACAGGACAGUAGAGAGAGAGA
ensembl:lncRNA